rnacentral:rRNA from 1 species
AUGGGCAUCGCAGUAAUUAUUGCCCCUCCCGUCCCUACCCCUACCCCGGGCCACGCCAUGGCCGCCUCGGAAGCCGCGACUGAGGAGGGGAUGUUGCUUUCGAGCGCAUCUCGAGGCCGGUGUCCGCUCCGCAAUACGGGCGGCCGCGAUCGGCAGCGGGCCGUGGAUCCUCUGCGGAUGGGAGCCACACAAUUCCGGCGUGUGUGCUCGCGGCUAGUGAGGUUUCGGCGGCUUGCGCCGGCCGGGUCGGGGAUGAGGGAACCACGGAGAAAAGGCUGUUCGUAUGCGUGUUGUGUUCUUAGCUUCGCCAAGCCCGAUGCAAAAAACCCAGGCCUGGGCCGGCCAUCGGGCCUGUUUUUUGGGCCUAAGCCCGGCCCGAACAUGAAAAAGCCCAUUGGGCUUCGGGCCGGCCCGGCCCGACCUUCAGAAAAAUGCAAAUACUACGGGCCCGGGCCCGGCCUUCGGGCUCAAAAUCUAGGCCCGAGCCUGGCCCGAGGGAGAAGGUGGUCGUGGUAUGAGAGAGACAGGCGAAUACGCGACUGGCGACUCGCGAAGGCCGGCGUGGUACCUGCCGGAUCUCAGGGCGGCGACCGACAGACAAGCGAAUACGCGACUGGCGACUCGCGGUGGCCGACGUGGUACCUGCUGGAUCUCAGGCUGGCGGCCGCCGGCGAGGGUGCUCAUUUACCUGCAGGGCGUGGUGGUGGGGGGCUAUAUGAAGCUCCUACACCCAUUCCUGACCUAGCUCAUCUGGAAUUCCCCACUUCCCCUUGUUCUGUUGAGAAGAAGGCGGCGGUGGCAGGUCUGGGAGAGCAGACGGAGGCAGAGAGAGAAGCAAGUUUGGAGGUGUUUCUUCGCAGGGUGGAGGAGGGGGCUCUGGUUUUGGAGCUUUUGCUGGACAAGAAUUGCUCGCAAAUGAUGCCAUUGGGGCUGGGGAUGGGGAAACUUUUCUUCUUGGCACCUGAACAGUUGGCCCAGCAAUAUCAGUACUUGUUGGCAAAUAUCCCUAAAAGUAGUGUCAUACCUAUUGCUAAUAGUGAGAAGGAGAGAAAUGAUAGAGGAACUGGACACAAGGUUGAUGGGGAUGGAGAGAAGGAGCAAAUCUGUGGAAAGUGCAAAGGAAUUUGCGAGGCUGGAUCUACUCUAGGUCCUGUGGUGAAAGUGGAUGUUGAGAAUAUCCAUGUCAAGGAAGAAAUAAGGUUGAAAGUUGGGGUUAGGGACUCGCACAAAAUACCUACAAGAACAAAAAUCACCACCAAAGAUUUGUUGUUGCAUGAUAUUGGGAUUGAACUGGAGUCAGUGGCUGAACAAGGACGGUAUAAAUUUGAGGAAGAAUGUAGCUACAACAAGGAGCAAGGCAACACAGCUAGUGUAGAGGGGGAAAAUUUGUUACUCAGGCCGCAAUUAGCCGAAGAGAUGGCUGCCAGACAGACAACUCAGUUGGUGGUGGAAGAAAAAAAUAGAAAAGAGAUGGGAAUCAUGAGGAUGGGGUCGAAGAGAGAGAUUAGAAGGCAACACAAGUUGGUGCAACAAAACAUGAGGCCUAUGGCUGAAAUUAGGGGCUCUCGAACAGAUAAUAAGAUGAUUGAUGUUGAGAAAAAAUGA